UUGGGAUAACUCCGGGAAACCGGAGCUAAUACCGGAUAACAUUUCGAACCGCAUGGUUCGAAAUUGAAAGAUGGUUUCGGCUAUCACUUACAGAUGGACCCGCGGCGCAUUAGCUAGUUGGUGAGGUAACGGCUCACCAAGGCAACGAUGCGUAGCCGACCUGAGAGGGUGAUCGGCCACACUGGGACUGAGACACGGCCCAGACUCCUACGGGAGGCAGCAGUAGGGAAUCUUCCGCAAUGGACGAAAGUCUGACGGAGCAACGCCGCGUGAACGAUGAAGGCCUUCGGGUCGUAAAGUUCUGUUGUUAGGGAAGAACAAGUACCAGAGUAACUGCUGGUACCUUGACGGUACCUAACCAGAAAGCCACGGCUAACUACGUGCCAGCAGCCGCGGUAAUACGUAGGUGGCAAGCGUUGUCCGGAAUUAUUGGGCGUAAAGCGCGCGCAGGCGGUUUCUUAAGUCUGAUGUGAAAGCCCACGGCUCAACCGUGGAGGGUCAUUGGAAACUGGGGAACUUGAGUGCAGAAGAGGAGAGUGGAAUUCCACGUGUAGCGGUGAAAUGCGUAGAGAUGUGGAGGAACACCAGUGGCGAAGGCGACUCUCUGGUCUGUAACUGACGCUGAGGGCGCGAAAGCGUGGGGAGCGAACAGGAUUAGAUACCCUGGUAGUCCACGCCGUAAACGAUGAGUGCUAAGUGUUAGAGGGUUUCCGCCCUUUAGUGCUGCAGCAAACGCAUUAAGCACUCCGCCUGGGGAGUACGGUCGCAAGACUGAAACUCAAAGGAAUUGACGGGGGCCCGCACAAGCGGUGGAGCAUGUCGGUCUAAUUCGAAGCAACGCGAAGAACCUUA
rnacentral:rRNA from 1 species